UGCAUAUAUACUUAAAUAGUAUUUGAAAGCUACCCAUCUGUGUUUAGAAUGACACUUGUAAAUUUACUGUGGGUUUGCAAUACAGAUGUGUCAGGUGCUCUACUAAGCCGUGUGGUUGUUAUUUGCGGCUUUGCUGAAUGUGACAGCAUUUUAAGGCUAACUUAUAGAGACCACCAAAUUGAAACAAAUAGUAAAAACAUUUCAUUGGCUAGAACAAUUACUCGAAGAUCAGCAAUAAGACACCAACUGCAAGGGCACAUUAUAUUAAAAACGGUCAACAUGGAACUUCUAUAUACCAUACUUGUAUGCAUUCUUUAUACUGUUUCCUGCCAGGAAUUAAAGUCCCUUAUACGAUCGAUGGGAAAAACAGCUAAAUUCACUUGUGGUGUUGAUGGUGUUCAGGUCAUACAUCAAGGUCUUCACUGGUAUCAUCAAGAUAGCAACGACAUUAUUAAAUGGCUAUUGUUCUAUAAACCUGGGAAGAUGGAAGCUGUCAGUGAAUAUAAAACAAGGAUAUCACUGGAAAUUGCCUCAGAGAGUUCUUGCACCCUGAGCAUUACGAACAUUAAGCCCAUGGAUGAGGGCAUUUACUUCUGUGCAGCCUGGCAGAACACCACUGUCUUAUACCUACAUUAGGAAAUAAUUCAAGUUCUGUCUAAGGGUUUGUAGUCAUUUCCCGUGUUUUGUGGUCAGUUUACAAAAGACGGGUUAUUUUAUACAUUGCAUUAAAGACAUGUCUACAAUGAUUAUAUAUUCUUAUUUCCGCAUAAUGUUAGUUAUAUCAGUAUUUUUUAUUCAUAUGGUUGCUUUAGGCUGAAAACACACAUCAUGAAGAAAUUUGAGGUUGAUGCAGUUUUUUGAGCCAAAACAAGAAAUAUUUGCAGCAGAAGGUGAAUUUCUCAUUCUUAUGGAAACCACAUCUGGCGCUGAAUUAAAAACUACACCAAGCAAAUUCUAUAGACAUUGAUUCUUUUUACUAGUGUUUGGUAAUACCUUUACUAACCCAUUUUUCGUUCUCAUAACCCCUUCAACAACUUUACUUUAAUAGGCUGAUUUUAGUCUGUUUAGAAUUUUUUUUUCAAAUUUGUUUUAUUUUUGCUUCGAUAUUAUUUUCAUUUUACUCUACAUUUUGUUAAAUCUGUUUAUCAUUCAUAUCUUCCUUUUUUUUUUGUUUAAGUGAUGUUUCUCAAAGAUGUAAAAAUAGAAAAGCUAUGGACAUUAAAGCUUUGCAGUAAUGGAAUGUAUAUUUAUGAUUCAACUCAUUUAUUUCUAUGGUGCUAAAAUGAAUGUAUUAGAACUUUCUGCAUAUUGAAAAAAGUCAAUCCUAUAAAUAAAAAGUGACAAAAAAGAAACAGAAAUGUAAAUAAAUCA